AAAGGUGGGUUGUUAAGUAAGAUGUGAAAGCCCGGGGCUCAACCUGGGAAUUGCAUUUGAAACUGGCAAACUAGAGUCCUGUAGAGGGGGGUAGAAUUUCAGGUGUAGCGGUGAAAUGCGUAGAGAUCUGAAGGAAUACCGGUGGCGAAGGCGGCCCCCUGGACAGAUACUGACACUCAGAUGCGAAAGCGUGGGGAGCAAACAGGAUUAGAUACCCUGGUAGUCCACGCCGUAAACGAUGUCUACUUGGAGGUUGUGGCCUUGAGCCGUGGCUUUCGGAGCUAACGCGUUAAGUAGACCGCCUGGGGAGUACGGUCGCAAGAUUAAAACUCAAAUGAAUUGACGGGGGCCCGCACAAGCGGUGGAGCAUGUGGUUUAAUUCGAUGCAACGCGAAGAACCUUACCUACUCUUGACAUCUACAGAAGCCAGCGGAGACGCAGGUGUGCCUUCGGGAACUGUAAGACAGGUGCUGCAUGGCUGUCGUCAGCUCGUGUUGUGAAAUGUUGGGUUAAGUCCCGCAACGAGCGCAACCCUUAUCCUUGUUUGCCAGCACUUCGGGUGGGAACUCCAGGGAGACUGCCGGUGAUAAACCGGAGGAAGGUGGGGACGACGUCAAGUCAUCAUGGCCCUUACGAGUAGGGCUACACACGUGCUACAAUGGCGCAUACAGAGGGCGGCCAACUUGCGAAAGUGAGCGAAUCCCAAAAAGUGCGUCGUAGUCCGGAUUGGAGUCUGCAACUCGACUCCAUGAAGUCGGAAUCGCUAGUAAUCGUGGAUCAGAAUGCCACGGUGAAUACGUUCCCGGGCCUUGUACACACCGCCCGUCACACCAUGGGAGUGGGCUGCAAAAGAAGUGGGUAGUUUAACCUUCGGGAGGACGCUCACCACUUUGUGGUUCAUGACUGGGGUGAAGUCGUAACAAGGUAACCG
rnacentral:rRNA from 1 species